GACGAACGCUGGCGGCGUGCUUAACACAUGCAAGUCGAACGGAAAGGCCCUGCUUUUGUGGGGUGCUCGAGUGGCGAACGGGUGAGUAACACUUGAGUAACCUGCCCUUGACUUUGGGAUAACUUCAGGAAACUGGGGCUAAUACCGGAUAGGAGCUCCUGCUGCAUGGUGGGGGUUGGAAAGUUUCGGCGGUUGGGGAUGGACUCGCGGCUUAUCAGCUUGUUGGUGGGGUAGUGGCUUACCAAGGCUUUGACGGGUAGCCGGCCUGAGAGGGUGACCGGCCACAUUGGGACUGAGCUACGGCCCAGACUCCUACGGGAGGCAGCAGUGGGGAAUAUUGCACAAUGGGCGGAAGCCUGAUGCAGCAACGCCGCGUGCGGGAUGACGGCCUUCGGGUUGUAAACCGCUUUCGCCUGUGACGAAGCGUGAGUGACGGUAAUGGGUAAAGAAGCACCGGCUAACUACGUG
rnacentral:rRNA from 1 species